rnacentral:rRNA from 1 species
UACGUAGGGGCCGAGCGUUGUCCGGAUUCAUUGGGCGUAAAGAGCGUGUAGGCGGCCGCUUAAGUCCUGCGUGAAAUCUCGGAGCUCAACUCCGAGCGGUCGUGGGAAACUGGCGGCUAGAGUGCGGGAGAGGAGAGUGGAAUUCCUGGUGUAGCGGUGGAAUGCGCAGAUAUCAGGAAGAACACCCGUGGCGAAGGCGGCUCUCUGGAACGCAACUGACGCUGAGACGCGAAAGCGUGGGGAGCAAACAGG